GAGCCAGAAUGGACGCCUCUAGGGUUUAUGGCAGUGAGGCCAGCAGGGCGGCAUGAGGACAGGCCCAGCGGCCUUCUGGGUACGGGAAAUUUGGCCGUCAGUCGUGAUUGCAUAACUGCCAUAGAGGUAACUCUGUCGAUGUGAUACCUGGUGCGAGCAGCUGGGGGUCACAUACCGUGCAAGAGGGGGUCACCCAAUAAGCACAAGCAUACCAUGCAGUAUAGGCC